UCCGGUUUGUCACCGGCAGUCUCCUAUGAGUCCCCAACUAAAUGCUGGCAACUAGGGGCGAGGGUUGCGCUCGUUGCGGGACUUAACCCAACAUCUCACGACACGAGCUGACGACAGCCAUGCAGCACCUGUGUCGGCUCCCCUUGCGAGGUCGGGCCCCUUUCAGGUUCCUACCACCGACAUGUCAAACCCAGGUAAGGUUUUUCGCGUUGCGUCGAAUUAAACCACAUGCUCCACCGCUUGUGCGGGCCCCCGUCAAUUCCUUUGAGUUUCACCCUUGCGGGCGUACUCCCCAGGUGGAUUACUUAACGCUUUCGCUAAGACGCUGACUGUGUAUCGCCAACAUCGAGUAAUCAUCGUUUACAGCGUGGACUAC
rnacentral:misc_RNA from 1 species